AUGAACGCUAGCGAUAGGCUUAACACAUGCAAGUCGAGGGGCAGCACAAGGUAGCUUGCUAUCUGGGUGGCGGCCGGCGCACGGGUGCGUAACGCGUAUGCAACUUGCCCUAUACAGGAGGAUAACCCGUCGAAAGACGGACUAAUACUGCGUAUGCUCACAACUUGGCAUCAAGUGGUGAGGAAAGAAAUUCGGUAUAGGAUAGGCAUGCGUCCCAUUAGCUUGUUGGUGAGGUAACGGCUCACCAAGGCAACGAUGGGUAGGGGAACUGAGAGGUUUAUCCCCCACACUGGUACUGAGACACGGACCAGACUCCUACGGGAGGCAGCAGUGAGGAAUAUUGGUCAAUGGGCGCGAGCCUGAACCAGCCAAGUCGCGUGAAGGAUGACUGUCUUAUGGAUUGUAAACUUCUUUUAUACGGGAAUAACAAGAGUCACGUGUGACUCCCUGCAUGUACCGUAUGAAUAAGCAUCGGCUAACUCCGUG
rnacentral:rRNA from 1 species